ensembl:processed_transcript Gm10658 predicted gene 10658
CUUUUGGGAUUUGGAGUUCCGCAGGGUGGAAGCUAAAGGAGGUGCAUCUUAACUACACGGCCCCGGUUUCCUUCACACACAACCCAUUUGGAGCUGGGUCUGGAGAAACCUGUAACAGUCUAUGGCCCUACCACUUGGACGCAUCAUAUCUCAGAAGCUAAACAGAGUCCGGCCUGGCUAGCAUUUGGUUGGAUUAGAGAUUAGUCACCGUGAGGAAGCCAAAUCGGAUCCGGGAGUCUUUUUCUAAAGGCCAGUACUGGCCACAUUUUCUCCUGCCGCCUUCCUCAAAGCUGAAGACAUACAGAGCAAGUUAAGCCUUCUCUCUUCAACUAGCUGUAAGCCGCUUCCCACCACAACUGCCGAGCUCCAAUGUGAUCUGCACUGCUUCUGAAGUAUAGCACUGAUUCUUGGCAGAAAAAUGACAUCUCUUCCUUCUAAACAAGUGUUAAAACAGCUAACAUUCUUACAUGUAUACAUUUAGCAGACAUGCAUUGUACAUUCACUGUAUCAUCUGUCUCCUUCCUGAUACUUGGUUGUAUUUCCUACAUAUAGUAGCAAAUCCACACUGAGGCCUAGACCUUGGCCACUGCUCAGUUUCUUUCGACGAAGGGCCCUUGGCUGACACAGGAGUGGGGAAGACAAUUCUCCCAACUACAGGUGGCUGUUGACAAUGCUCUGAGGACGGGAACUGAGCGAGCAUCGCUUUUCUUCCCUAUCUGAAAAAGGUAGAGAUAUUAAUGAACAGAAGAGCCAUCAAAAGAAGGAGGAAAUGGAGAGCAAAGGGAACUGGUAAUGCAGUGGCCAGGAAGGCACCUUUCCUCUGUAGACAAGAGGCAGCUUCAAGGUGUGCUGCUGGCAUUUCCCAGCACGUCCUUUUGUGAAUAAGGCCAGAACCCCAGGAUAGGCUUUAGCGCACUAGCCCUGGGUCCCUACAGUUACGGAUUAAAUAUUUCUGCAAGGCUAACACUAUCUCCACUGUGUCCUACCAUGUUAACUAUAGAUGUGGCAUAGCUUUCUUAAUCAUUCAAGCUUAGGGUCAUGGAAUCUAUGGUUAAAAGAAGACUAACUCACCGGGUAGUCAUGACAAUCACCAAAACUUUUUGCUCCCAAACCAUAAGCCAGAAGUCACGAUAGGUGUUCUCCAAAGGACCUGGAAUGAAAGGACAGGAGGGAGAGCGGGCCUUUAGAAGCAUGUCUGUCUUCCUCUACUUGUCUUCCAAAUAGGAUCUCUGAA